CUGGGAGUGGAGCUCUGACUGUGAACAACUGCUGGCAUUGUCCAUGUUUUCUGUCCAAGUUUGAACACACCUCAUAUCUUUUAAUGUCGACCAUGGCAGUUUGUUCCUCAGUAAGCCAAGUCUCAGAGAUUGCUAUUGCAGUGAAUUGGUUCUUCAGCUGUCUUAAACCGUGUUGGAUCUUUGAAAGCAAUGCUCAAAGACGGGGACAUUUUG